AGUGUUUAUCCACAUACAUUAAAUGGAAUACUGCUAGAUGUUAAUAGUCUAACAUUCUUAUUGAUCAGCAGUCACUCUCACUAAUUUGACCUGGGAGAGGAUACUGCAGGAGGGACAUAUUCCUUAUGGUGGAGAAGGACAUACAUUUUGGUAAACUGAAAAAUCAGAGUGUGAUAAAAGGAAAGUUACAUUUAUUUGAAGGAUGUUCUACUCAGGAUGCUGAAGAUUGUCUUCCAGGAAUCUACAGCUUUGCUCUUAUUACAUUGACGUGGCAGCAGUGCAAGGUCAAAGGAGAAAUACCCACUGGAAGGACACAUCAUACACUUACAGCACACUAUGACAAGAAUGUAUUUCCACAAGUCUUUCUGAAGUCAGAAAUCAAUUGGAAUCGCAUACUCAUUAUAUUCUGGGACUCAGUUAGGAGUAUCUGCUGUCAAAGUUACAGAGUUUUGGUGCAGCUGCUGAAGAGAAGACUGGAAGCCUGUGGGCGAGCUCUCAAGCUGGAGGAGUAUAAUGAAGGCCACAAUGAACUGUUUGGACCAAGCCUCGAGAUGUUCAGGCAAGGUGUUAAUGGCGGUAACUGA
ensembl:lncRNA